rnacentral:rRNA from 1 species
AUUGAACGCUGGCGGCAUGCCUUACACAUGCAAGUCGAACGGCAGCACGGGAGCAAUCCUGGUGGCGAGUGGCGAACGGGUGAGUAAAGUAUCGGAACGUGCCCAGUCGUGGGGGAUAACGUAGCGAAAGUUACGCUAAUACCGCAUACGAUCUAUGGAUGAAAGCGGGGGAUCGCAAGACCUCGCGCGAUUGGAGCGGCCGAUAUCAGAUUAGGUAGGUGGUGGGGUAAAGGCUCACCAAGCCGACGAUCUGUAGCUGGUCUGAGAGGACGACCAGCCACACUGGGACUGAGACACGGCCCAGACUCCUACGGGAGGCAGCAGUGGGGAAUUCUGGACAAUGGGCGAAAGCCUGAUCCAGCCAUGCCGCGUGCAGGAUGAAGGCCUUCGGGUUGUAAACUGCUUUUGUACGGAACGAAAAGGUUUGGCCUAAUAAGCUGAGCUCAUGACGGUACCGUAAGAAUAAGCACCGGCUAACUACGUGCCAGCAGCCGCCGCGG